rnacentral:rRNA from 1 species
UACGUAGGUGGCAAGCGUUGUCCGGAUUUACUGGGCGUAAAGAGCGUGUAGGCGGUUCGUACAGUCCGCUGUGAAAUCUCCAGGCUCAACCUGGAGUAGUCGGUGGAAACUAGCGAACUUGAGGACGGUAGAGGGGGGUGGAAUUCCCGGUGUAGUGGUGAAAUGCGUAGAGAUCGGGAGGAACACCAGCGGCGAAGGCGGCCCCCUGGGCCGCUCCUGACGCUGAGACGCGAAGGCCAGGGUAGCGAACGGG